ACUCAAAGGAAUUGACGGGGGCCCGCACAAGCAGCGGAGCGUGUGGUUUAAUUCGAUGCAACGCGCAGAACCUUACCUAGGCUUGACAUGCACGUGGUACCAACUCGAAAGAGACGGGACCCGCGAGGGAGCGUGCACAGAUGCUGCAUGGCUGUCGUCAGCUCGUGCCGUGAGGUGUUGGGUUAAGUCCCGCAACGAGCGCAACCCUUGUCCUUAGUUAUCACGUCUAGGGAGACCGCCGGUACAAACCGGAGGAAGGUGGGGAUGACGUCAAGUCAGCACGGCUCUUACGUCUAGGGCUACACACACGCUACAAUGGCCGGUACAACGGGCUGCGAACCCGCGAGGGGGAGCCAAUCCCAUCAAAGCCGGCCUCAGUUCGGAUCGCAGGCUGCAACUCGCCUGCGUGAAGUCGGAGUUGCUAGUAACCGCUGGUCAGCACACAGCGGUGAAUACGUUCCCGGGCCUUGUACACACCGCCCGU
rnacentral:rRNA from 1 species